rnacentral:lncRNA from 1 species
GGAAGUUUCAUUCUAACUUAAUUUUGUAUUAACAAAUGUUCAUUUAUUUAUAAACUGAAGCCACGUAGGAAUCGCAGCUCCUAUGAUCAGCAUAGGUUCCUGGCGAUCACUGUGCCCCACCCCCACUGCCAGCUGCCUUCCUGAUGACAGAGAGAUCAUGGUUUUGGAGAAUGCUACCAGGACAAGAACCCCCCCACCCUGCCACCCUUGUUUGGGACGCUGAAUUCCCUGGGACUUCUGAGUGUACAGACCCUGCACUGCUGCAAGACUCCGUGCAUUCCCAAAACCACAAGCCUCAGACCGGCUGUGAGUGUCUGGGAACUGAUGCCAGGAUUUGACCUCCAGAUGCAGAGGCCUGCCACCCCGACUCCACCUCACCCAUCCUGGCUCCCACAGCCAGUCCACCCUGUUAUCUGCCACAUGCUUCCAAAAGCAGGAAAAACAAGAGGCUCCAGCGUUCUUCCAGCUGGAAAUUGGUUGGCGGAGCAUGGUCCCUGGGGAUUGUGGUGCUGUAGGCUCUGCAGAAGAGCAGGGGUUCACUCAGCAGGAGUAGCGCUGACCCCACCCUGCAGCCCUUCCUUGUGUCUGGAAGUAACUCAGGAGGCCAUGGCAGCAGUUUGCACCCCACCCCCACCCCCGCCCCCGGGUGAGGCCUGUCAGCCCCUCUCUCCUGCCCCUCCUCCUGCCCCUCCUCUGUUGCUCAGUCGGAUCAAAUAAGUGGAUUUUUGGUUUGUUUGUUUGUUUUUAUGAACAAGCUCCUCUAG